rnacentral:rRNA from 1 species
GAUGAACGCUGGCGGCGUGCCUAAUACAUGCAAGUCGAGCGAACAGACGAGGAGCUUGCUCCUCUGACGUUAGCGGCGGACGGGUGAGUAACACGUGGAUAACCUACCUUUAAGACUGGGAUAACUUCGGGAAACCGGAGCUAAUACCGGAUAAUAUAUUGAACCGCAUGGUUCAAUAGUGAAAGACGGUUUUGCUGUCACUUAUAGAUGGAUCCGCGCCGCAUUAGCUAGUUGGUAAGGUAACGGCUUACCAAGGCAACGAUGCGUAGCCGACCUGUGAGGGUGAUCGGCCACACUGGAACUGAGACACGGUCCAGACUCCUACGGGAGGCAGCAGUAGGGAAUCUUCCGCAAUGGGCGAAAGCUUGACGGAGCAACGCCGCGUGAGUGAUGAAGGUCUUCGGAUCGUAAAACUCUGUUAUUAGGGAAGAACAAAUGUGUAAGUAACUAUGCACGUCUUGACGGUACCUAAUCAGAAAGCCACGGCUAACUACGUG